rnacentral:rRNA from 1 species
UACGUAGGGUGCGAGCGUUACUCGGCAUUACUGGGCGUAAAGCGUGCGCAGGCGGUUCGUUGUGUCUGAUGUGAAAGCCCCGGGCUUAACCUGGGAAUGGCAUUGGAAACUGGCGAGCUGGAGUGUGGCAGAGGGGGGUGGAAUUCCGAGUGUAGCAGUGAAAUGCGUAGAGAUGCGGAGGAACACCGAUGACGAAGGCAGCCCCCUGGGCCAACACUGACGCUCAGGCACGAAAGCGUGGGGAGCAAACAGG